CAGCCGCCGCGGUAAUACGUAGGUGGCAAGCGUUGUCCGGAAUUGUUGGGCGUAAAGCGCGCGCAGGCGGUUUCUUAAGUCUGAUGUGAAAGCCCCCGGCUUAACCGGGGAGGGUCAUUGGAAACUGGGAGACUUAGAGUGCAGAAGAGGAGAGUGGAAUUCCAUGUGUAGCGGUGAAAUGCGUAGAUAUAUGGAGGAACACCAGUGGCGAUGGCAACUCUCUGGUCUGUAACUGACGCUGAGGCGCGAAAGCGUGGGGAGCAAACAGGAUUAGAUACCCCUGAGUCCCUGUCUCUUAUAC
rnacentral:rRNA from 1 species